rnacentral:rRNA from 1 species
UACGGGGGGUGCGAGCGUUAAUCGGAAUAACUGGGCGUAAGGGGCACGCAGGCGGACUGUUAAGUGAGAUGUGAAAGCCCCGGGCUUAACCUGGGAAUUGCAUUUCAGACUGGGAGUCUAGAGUACUUUAGGGAGGGGUAGAAUUCCACGUGUAGCGGUGAAAUGCGUAGAGAUGUGGAGGAAUACCGAAGGCGAAGGCGGCCCCCUGGACAAAGACUGACGCUCAGGUGCGAAAGCGUGGGGAGCAAACAGG